CCUACGGGUGACAGCAGUCGAGAAUCAUUCACAAUGGGGGAAACCCUGAUGGUGCGACGCCGCGUGGGGGAAUGAAGGUCUUCGGAUUGUAAACCCCUGUCAUGUGGGAGCAAAUUAAAAAGAUAGUACCACAAGAGGAAGAGCCGGCUAACUCUGUGCCAGCAGCCGCGGUAAUACAGAGGUCUCAAGCGUUGUUCGGAAUCACUGGGCGUAAAGCGUGCGUAGGCUGUUUCGUAAGUCGUGUGUGAAAGGCGCGGGCUCAACCCGCGGACGGCACAUGAUACUGCGAGACUAGAGUAAGGGAGGGGGAACCGGAAUUCGCGGUGUAGCAGUGAAAUGCGUAGAUAUCGAGAGGAACACUCGUGGCGAAGGCGGGUUCCUGGACAUUAACUGACGCUGAGGCACGAAGGCCAGGGGAGCGAAAGGGAUUAGAUACCCCUGUAGUC
rnacentral:rRNA from 1 species